AGUGAACGCUGGCGGUAGGCCUAACACAUGCAAGUCGAACGGCAGCACAGUAAGAGCUUGCUCUUACGGGUGGCGAGUGGCGGACGGAUGAGGAAUACAUCGGAAUCUACUUUUUCGUGGAGGAUAACGUAGGGAGACUUACGCUAAUACCGCAUACGACCUACGGGUGAAAGCAGGGGAACUUCGGGCCUUGCGCGAUUGAAUGAGCCGAUGUCGGAUUAGCUAGUUGGCGGGGUAAUGGCCCACCAAGGCGACGAUCCGUAGCUGGUCUGAGAGGAUGGUCAGCCACAUUGGAACUGAGACACGGUCCAGACUCCUACGGGAGGCAGCAGUGGGGAAUAUUGGACAAUGGGCGGAAGCCUGAUCCAGCCAUAGCGCGUGGGUGAAGAAGGCCUUCGGGUUGUAAAGCCCUUUUGUUGGGAAAGAAAAGCAGCAGGUUAAUACCCCGCGGUUCUGACGGUACCCAAAGAAUAAGCACCGGCUAACUUCGUG
rnacentral:rRNA from 1 species